GAUGAACGCUGACAGAAUGCUUAACACAUGCAAGUCAACUUGAAUUUGGGUUUUUAACUUAGAUUUGGGUGGCGGACGGGUGAGUAACGCGUAAAGAACUUGCCUCACAGCUAGGGACAACAUUUAGAAAUGAAUGCUAAUACCUGAUAUUAUGAUUUUAAGGCAUCUUAGAAUUAUGAAAGCUAUAAGCACUGUGAGAGAGCUUUGCGUCCCAUUAGCUAGUUGGAGAGGUAACAGCUCACCAAGGCGAUGAUGGGUAGCCGGCCUGAGAGGGUGAACGGCCACAAGGGGACUGAGACACGGCCCUUACUCCUACGGGAGGCAGCAGUGGGGAAUAUUGGACAAUGGACCGAGAGUCUGAUCCAGCAAUUCUGUGUGCACGAUGAAGUUUUUCGGAAUGUAAAGUGCUUUCAGUUGGGAAGAAAGAAAUGACGGUACCAACAGAAGAAGUGACGGCUAAAUACGUGCCAGCAGCCGCGGUAAUACGUAUGUCACGAGCGUUAUCCGGAUUUAUUGGGCGUAAAGCGCGUCUAGGUGGUUAUGUAAGUCUGAUGUGAAAAUGCAGGGCUCAACUCUGUAUUGCGUUGGAAACUGUAUAACUAGAGUACUGGAGAGGUAAGCGGAACUACAAGUGUAGAGGUGAAAUUCGUAGAUAUUUGUAGGAAUGCCGAUGGGGAAGCCAGCUUACUGGACAGAUACUGACGCUAAAGCGCGAAAGCGUGGGUAGCAAACAGG
rnacentral:rRNA from 1 species